rnacentral:lncRNA from 1 species
CUGGAUACCAACCAAAGGCAUUAAACAUUUAAGAAAUUUUUUAUAGAAAAUGUACAAUUUUGCAAUGUCUAAAACCAUGAUUAGAUUUAGAACCAUAAAAAUAUUGCCACAAGAAUCAUUGUCUAACCUUACAUAUAUAUACACAAGAUUUGCAGGGAACCAGCCUCAUUGAUUAAUGUUCUCUCUAUGUAACAUACCACACAACAGACAGAUCUUGGAUCCAGGAGAUCUUGCGUUCGAGCUCCGCUAGUACUUUUGUAGGGAUGUAAAUAUUGCCACAAAUCAUUGUCAAACCUUAAGAACUCUAAAAACCCUAUGGUCUUCCUAGUCUUGUACUGAGGCACCAUCCCUUCACCUUAAAUUAUAUAUAUAAGAACAAAUGCCUAGAUGAAAUUGAGAAUUCACCGAAAUGGAAACAUGUUAACUAUAUAUUUCAAUAAAAUUGUGAUAACUAAGAAGGAAAAUUAAGGAGUAAGAUAUAGAAAUAUUAAAAAGAGAAAAAGGGAGCUCCCUUCAGUCCAAGCAAAGAAAAGAAAAGGAAGAAAUUUCACCUCCUGCAUCAUUCACACAUUCACAAUAGCAUUACCUAAUUAAUUAUCUAUUGUGUUUGAAUGAAUGAGUCAGCAGGUAAUUCAAACCCCUUACCCUUCCAUGAGUGGACUGAAGGAAACUCUCUUCAUCUGUUCCUAAUAAUAAUUAAUCCAAAAUAAACAUUAAUUAUUAUAAUUGUAAGAUUUCUUCAGAUCUACACAAAAUCAAAAUGAGACAAUAUUCAUAGAUAAUUGCAAUGAAGGAGCAUUCAAACCAAAGAACCCUAACCCUAAAACUACCAAAUAAAAAAUUAAAAUAAUUGAGAUCAAACAUUUGGAGAUUUUCUUACCAAUAUCCCUUUUACCAAAGGAGGAAUUCUCACACCCUUGAUUACCAUGCACCAUUCAAGAAUGUACAAAAUUAUGAACAUGAUCAAGCAAAAUUAAUAAUAAACAUAAUUUAAAUCAAAUUAAAAAAAGUCAACUUAUAUAUGUGUUACUAUAUAAAUAAGAAAGUUAUGUAAAUCAAAUUAACAUUCUCAUAAAAUGAUCUCAUUAUGAAUCCGAAGCUUCAACCAAAAGAUGAUAUCAACAAAAAGAAGUGAUAAAAGGGUAAAGAAAAUAUGAUCUAAAAAACCAAAUUAGCCAUGAGGGUAAAUAUGUGAAAUCAAAUCAAAUAAGAAACAAGUUGAAGGGUCAGAAGAAAAAAACAGUGAAGAGAAGAGAAAUAUAUUAAAAGCAAAAAAAAUAUCAGAGAGAGGAAGCAGUGUCACUGUCUUUGAUUAGAGUCAGAAAAAGGAAAAAGAUUGAAUGAAGAUCUUAAUAACCACACAAAUCUGGAAAAAGCACAGUUUUCCAAAAGAAAUCAAAACAAAGGUAAGCAAAGAUUAACUUUUUCUUUUUUUCUAAACAAGGUAAUUUAUGACUUUUACAAACUCAUAAACAUGAUAUAAGAGAAACAGAACUAGAGUUGAUUUUCUUACUUGUUUCUACAAUUCCUUAUAACAAAUCAAUCAACCCCUGAAACUGAAAGAGACUAUUACCACACUCACACACAAUCCAAGCUAUAUAGAGAUAAAAGAAAGAAGAUAGUGGAAUGAAAGGUGGGAUUUCUUUGUUUCCACUUUAAGUCAUGCGUUCUCUCUCAUCUUUUUUUUCUGCCACUCAACUGUAGAACAGUACUUGUAUUUUCUAUUACACUCUGCUAUGAGUAUGACUACACAAUUUUGAUAAAAAAUUUGGAAAAAAAAA